GUCUUUUGCGUACUUCUUGUUUCCUUGGUGGGUUCGCCCCACCACUAGGACAAACAUAAACCUUUUGUAAUUGCAAUCAGCGUCAGUAACAAAUUAAUAAUUACAACUUUCAACAACGGAUCUCUUGGUUCUGGCGUCGAUGAAGAACGCAGCGAAAUGCGAUAAGUAGUGUGAAUUGCAGAAUUCAGUGAAUCAUCGAUCUUUGAGCGCACAUUGCGCCCUUUGGUAUUCCAAAGGGCAUGCCUGUUCGAGCGUCAUUUGUACCCUCAAGCUUUGCUUGGUGUUGGGCGUCUUGUCUCUAGCUUUGCUGGAGACUCGCCUUAAAGUAAUUGGCAGCCGGCCUACUGGUUUCGGAGCGCAGCACAAGUCGCACUCUCUAUCAGCAAAGGUCUAGCAUCCAUUAAGCCUUUUUUUCAACUUUUGACCUCGGAUCAGGUAGGGAUACCCGCUGAACUUAAGCAUAUCAAUAAGCGGAGGA
rnacentral:rRNA from 1 species